AUCCAACUUCAAGCACAGUUUCUUAAACAGCAUUGUGGCCUCUUUUUUCUGCUCAUCUGAGAAGGAUAAUGCUGUUGACACAAGGCCAGUCUUCUGGACAUAUUCCUCCUCAUAAAUUUCGCCAAGUCCCUUUUUGCUUUUAUUGUCGUCCAGUUCUUUUGUUUCUCGUGGUGCUCUGGAUGGCAAGCUGGGACGCUUCUGAACAUCAUCAAAUCGGCCCUCAAUGAUACGUUUCUGAAUUAUUUCUUCAAGUGUUGCAGUAACCUCUUCAGUGAUUACAGGGGCAGGUCUCACAUUGUGCUCAAA
rnacentral:misc_RNA from 1 species